CGCGUAGGCGGAUGUUACAGUCAGGCGUGAAAUUCCUGGGCUCAACCUGGGGGCUGCGUUUGAUACGUGAUGUCUGGAGUUCGGAAGAGGGUCGUGGAAUUCCCAGUGUAGAGGUGAAAUUCGUAGAUAUUGGGAAGAACACCGGUGGCGAAGGCGGCGACCUGGUCCGAUACUGACGCUGAGGCGCGAAAGCGUGGGGAGCGAAACAGGAUUAGAUACCCUGGUAGUCCACGCUGUAAACGAUGUGCGCUGGAUGUUGGGUGACAUAGUCAUUCAGUGUCCGUAGCUAACGCGAUAAGCGCACCGCCUGGGGAGUACGGCCGCAAGGUUGAA
rnacentral:rRNA from 1 species